rnacentral:lncRNA from 1 species
AUAAUUGGUUCCCUUGUGCCCUCCAUGAGUGAAUGAGGAAUUAAGUAAGACACAGUUCACCCAACCAGAUAGAUAUUAUGUAGAAAUUCCACCUUCUGAUCUCUCCUCUUCAUCAUUACUUUUUAGAUGAAAACACUGAGAAGCCAGGAACAGCAUCAGAAAGUCUCUCCCUCUCACACAAGGAGCAAACUAAGCAGAACAUCAAAAAGAUUGUGCUAGCAGGAGUGGGGAAUACGCAAGCAUCUGUCUCUUCUCCCAGACUGCAUCUCCUAGGAAUUAGACUGAAGAUUCUAGCUUCAGAAGGGAAACUGCCAGGCAGGAUUUUGCAGGUUUAAGCAGGAAGCAGAGAGUGGGUGUCCUUUCCAGGAAGGAAACAGUGGUAUGCGGCAUGGACCAUGUGGUUGGCUUUCUGCUUUAAGGUUCAGCCAUGGGAUGAGACUCCAACUCUAUGUCCUAAAUCAGCCUGUCCAACAGAAAUACAGUACCAGCCACAAAUGCAAGCCAC